CUAUUAGUGGGGGACAACUCGAGGAAACUCGAGCUAAUACCGCAUACGCCCUACGGGGGAAAGCGGGGGAUCUUUCGGGACCUCGCGCUAAUAGAUGAGCCUAAGCCGGAUUAGCUUGUUGGUGGGGUAAUGGCCUACCAAGGCGACGAUCCGUAGCUGGUCUGAGAGGAUGAUCAGCCACACUGGGACUGAGACACGGCCCAGACUCCUACGGGAGGCAGCAGUAGGGAAUAUUGCACAAUGGGCGAAAGCCUGAUGCAGCAAUGCCGCGUGUGUGAAGAAGGCCUGAGGGUUGUAAAGCACUUUCAAUAGUGAAGAAAAGCACAGGGUUAAUAAC
rnacentral:rRNA from 1 species